ensembl:snoRNA
UAAAGCCUGUGAUGAAACAAGUUAUCCCUGUCUGAACAGCAUUGUGGACUUGUGGUAGUCUGAGGUUUGA